AGUUGGCUGGGCCAUUUGGAGGCCCCGGCGUAUCAGCUGCUGGACGAUGUGAUGGCGGCGCAGGGGUACGAACCCUCGCCAUUCAC
rnacentral:tRNA from 1 species